ensembl:snoRNA
GGGUCAUUACCAAGGCUUAAGGAAUGAAGUUUUUUCAUUUGCUGUGGAGAUGACCAUUAAAAAAAAAUUCCUCACUAAGUUUUCUCUCUUCUACCUCAUUAGCAAGCAACUUCUUGAAAACAUUA